rnacentral:rRNA from 1 species
GAUGAACGCUAGCGGCAGGCCUAACACAUGCAAGUCGAGGGGUAGCAGGAUUAAGCUUGCUUAAUUGCUGACGACCGGCGCACGGGUGCGUAACGCGUAUGCAACCUACCUUAUACUGGGGUAUAGCCCGGAGAAAUUCGGAUUAAUCCCCCAUAGUACUAAUGAAUCGCAUGGUUUAUUAGUUAAAGCAUCGCGGUAUAAGAUGGUCAUGCGUCCUAUUAGCUAGAUGGUGAGGUAACGGCUCACCAUAGCUACGAUAGGUAGGGGGCCUGAGAAGGGGGUCCCCCACACUUGUACUGAGACACGGACCAGACUGCUACGGGAGGCAGCAGUGAGGAAUAUUGGUCAAUGGGCGCAAGCCUGAACCAGCCAUGCCGCGUGCAGGAAGAAUGCCCUAUGGGUUGUAAACUGCUUUUAUUUGGGAAUAAACCUCUUUACGUGUAGAGAGCUGAAGGUACCAAAUGAAUAAGCACCGGCUAACUCCGUGCCAGCCGCCGCAGUAA